UGGUUUCCACUUUCUAGGUGUGAAUAUGAAGUUGAAUAGCAACAUGAAGGAAUUGAGAGGAGCAACUCUUUGUGAAGAUCUCCUGCAGUUACGCCUUUCUUAACAAGCGAAAUGAUGUAGUCCAUGAAGGCUGAAUCACAAGGUAAUGUAAUAGGACCACCACUCGGCAGCCCAAAAUUCUUCUUCGGCAUGGUUUAAAAGUUGCUGAAUGGACUCAUUUUCAAGAUAAGCCUAAGGGAAUCACAAAGCGUACUUGAUCGAUUGUAUAUAAUACAAAAUGGCCUUUUUCAACAAUAGAGGAUGCAGAUGUACUGCAACUGUCUGCAUCAAUACCAUUUCUUGGAAAUGAAAUCCUCUUCCUCUGCAUGGCUGCAAACUUCUGCCAUUUCCUAACCAUUUUGAUGAGUUUCUUAGUACUGAUUAUUGCCAUUUUUUUGUUUGGAAGAUUGGAAAAAAGAAAGUAAAUAAGAGAAACUUUUGAUGGCUGAAUUGAUAAUGCUUGUGCUUGAUGAUGAAAAGGCUCAUGAAAGAGGGCUUAUUUAUACAAGAGGAGCUGAUAAGUUUGUUAGGCAAAGCCAUGUGCUAAUGCCUGUUGGCCAUGUUGAUAUGGGGCCUAAGAUUUGUGGACGAAGCUACUUUGAAAAUAAAAGAUGAUAAGUUUCUUUGAUCAACAACCACUAGGCCUACUUGGUAUUUCUCAGCAAGUAUGUAAUAAUUUGAGAACAUUAAAUGAACAAUUGCAGGUGAGAAGCAAAAUCAUGUUCUGCCCUCUUCUUUGUCAUGUAGAUAGGUAACCUUUAGAUUUUCAUCUUGGCAUCAACUUCAUCAAUCCUUAUCAAUUUUAUUUUAGGUGUAUCCGUAAAAUAAAAUUAGGGCCUAAUGUUGGUUUUCAACAAAUUUAUUGUCUGAAUACUUGACAAUAAUAGGGUAAGCAAAGCCAUGUGAAGCUUUAUGUGUUGUUGUCUCUCACCAGUGGCCACCAAAUUUUCUUCACAUUUAAUUUGGAUAUCAAACUUACCACUAACUUUGUAUAUAUACACAUACAUAAAAAGUUUUUUUAAGCAAAACACAAAUCUCACUUACUGUGUAUUACUCAAAAUCCUUCAUUCUUUUUCUUUUUAGCUCAUCAUUUGAAGUUGCAAAAUUAUCUCGCAAUGGGUAUCAAAAUGAGUCCCCUUAUUCAAGGUACUAGAAUCUUGAGGAGGUUUUCAAAUUCCGGAGGUGUUCCAAAAGGACAUUGUGCAGUAUAUGUAGGAGAGAGCCAGAAGAAGAGGUUCUUUGUGCCAAUAUCUUACUUGAGUCAGCCUUUAUUUCAAGACUUGUUAACUCAAGCUGAAGAACAGUUUGGCUUCGAUCAUCAAAUGGGUGGUCUAACAAUACCUUGCAAGGAAGACGUGUUUGUUUAUCUCAUAUCCCGCUUGAGAUCAUGAAUUGUAUCAUAGUGCAAAUUGUCUUGCACAUGAAAUUUUGUAGAGUAGUAGACUUAGAUAUUAGAAAUAGGAGAUACAAAAGAUACAAAGAGGAAGUUUUAAUGUAUAGUUCAGAAACACAAAAUCAAUAGAAAUUGUUUCCAUUAUCAAUUUAUGAAUAGCAGAAGUGCUUUUUCUUAUAAUCACUAUUUUGCUUAUCUUUUCUUAUACAAUGCUGUUAUUCAUUUAGAAUUGUACUGUGUGGAGGAAACUAGCACAUCCAAGAAAGUAUCGUUUUAGCGGAAUGAGAAUGACAUAUGUGAUAAGUAACAAGAAAUUACGUAGCGGAACCAACUCAUCAGCUUUAUCUAUACUUGAGGCUUUAAAUUUUUAGGAUGUCCUUGAUUCCAAGUUAUGAGAAUUGAGAAGCAAUGAGGGCAACUAUUCAACAAGUUUAGUGUCUGUAUAUUUGGAUAAACUUUUGGAUGUAAGACUUGCCAUAAACUUAUUCAUACACAGUGCAAAAACUUUCCUUUUCUGUGCAUUUCUCAAGAUUAUGUGUUUCUUGUUUAUUCUUAGAUCAUCAGUUAGAGUUAAAAAUCAUAUCUUGAAAGAAGGGGAACUAUCAAAUGACUCCACUUAUUCAAUCUAAUCGAAUUUUAAGGAUGUCUUUAGUUGUUCUAAUAUCAUACUUGAGUCUUCCAUUAGAUUUCAAGACUUGUUAGCUCAUAUUGUUUUAUCACCUAAUUGCUUCUGAAAAUACCACGAAAUGUUAACACUGGAUGCUAUCUUAGAAGACAAGCCGUGAGAUACUUCAGAUGCCGCUGUCUCUCAUCUCUGCCACCCUAAUGCAGAUACUUCAGCAAAGCCUCAUUAGAACAUACAUAAAAGGAGGCAUAGUUGAUUGAUUGAUCAUAUAGACCUUAUUCGAUCAAGGAGGUACCACAGUAAGUGAAAUUCUUGCAAUAAAUAAAGUGGUGUUAAUACAGAAGUGGUACCAAUUCAGGAUCAGAUUGUUAAGUCUACUCAUAACCAAAUGUAAAAGUGAAAGCUUUGGUUAUAUAUGGUAAAUUUUCUGAUAAAAUAAUAAUCAAUCUGUAUGAUGCGCUUUACAAUUGUGUUCUUCAGUCUAUGUUGUAUCUAAAAACUAUUUUGAGCUAUCAUGUAUUAAAAAAGAUGUUGAUUAUAACUCAACAAACAAGAAGUAGUUGGUUUCCACUUUCUUGGUGUGAAUAUGAAGUUGAAUAGCAACAUGAAGGAAUUGAGAGGAGCAACGCUUUGUGAAGUUCUCCUGCAGUUACGCCUUUCUUAACGAGCGAAAUGAUGUAGUCCAUGAAGGCUGAAUCACAAGGUAAUGUAAUAGGACCACCACUCGGCAGCCCAAAUUCUUCUUCGGACAUGUUUAAAAGUUGCUGAAUGGACCUCAUUUUCAAGAUAAGCC
rnacentral:lncRNA from 1 species